AGAGUUGUGGCUCAGUGGUAGAGCACUUGCCUGGCAUGAUGAGGCCCUGGGUUCAAUACUCAGCAGCACAU
rnacentral:tRNA from 1 species